rnacentral:ncRNA from 1 species
UCGUACGCGGAGGGCUUGGACGCGCGGCCCACAUUCUGGCCGCCGGGACCGCGCCGAGCCACUGGCGAGACCGACCCGCGCAUGG